rnacentral:lncRNA from 1 species
GUAGCAUCUAAGCUGGUCUCUUAUGGGAUAUUGUUCUUCUGAUAAGAUGAUUGUUUCUGAAAUACAUAUUUUGACUCUAUCAGAGUUCUGUUAAAGCCUCUUAAAGUUUAAUUUGGGUGAGAUAUCUAGUGAUCUUAGCAAAAUUUGGAAACAGUUUACAGCUUAUAACAAGUGUUAAAGUAUGUAAAACUGAUAUGCAAGUAGUGAAAUAGAUCCAAGGAGUACGUUACACAGUAAGAUACAUAUCAUGUGGCAAUUCUUCUUUGAAAAUUAACGUUCUUAUAGUUGCUAGUUAGAAAUUGUCCCUUUCCUAACUUGCCAGACCCAGAAUUUGAUCAUUUGGAAAUAAUCAAUUGCAA